CCUACGGGAGGCAGCAGUAAGGAAUAUUGGUCAAUGGACGCAAGUCUGAACCAGCCAUGCCGCGUGAAGGAUUAAGGCCCUCUGGGUUGUAAACUUCUUUUAUCUGGGAAGAAAUGCGCUUUUUCUUUCACGCUUGACGGUACCCUAGGAAUAAGCACCGGCUAACUCCGUGCCAGCAGCCGCGGUAAUACGGAGGGUGCAAGCGUUAUCCGGAUUCACUGGGUUUAAAGGGUGCGUAGGUGGGCUUAUAAGUCAGUGGUGAAAUUCUCCGGGCUUAACCGGGAAACUGCCGUUGAUACUAUAUGUCUUGAAUAUUGCGGAGGUAAGCGGAAUAUGUCAUGUAGCGGUGAAAUGCUUAGAUAUGACAUAGAACACCAAUUGCGAAGGCAGCUUACUACGCAUUAUUGACACUGAUGCACGAAAGCGUGGGGAUCGAACAGGAUUAGAUACCCUGGUAGUCCACGCCCUAAACGAUGGAUACUCGACAUUCGCGAUACACUGUUAGUGUCUGAGCGAAAGCAUUAAGUAUUCCACCUGGGAAGUACGAUCGCAAGGUUGAAACUCAAAGGAAUUGACGG
rnacentral:rRNA from 1 species